GUCAGUCUCCAUGAAAGGCAGCAGUGGUGGAAAAUCAGACCAUGAAAAAGGAUUUAUGUUCAUCCUAUGAGUUUUACCAAGUCCUUGGCCUUUGAGCUUUGAGCAGGAGAAUUACAGGGCCUGAUCGACAUGAGGACAACUCUGGACAUGAGAAUAAGAAGGAAAUCAGCAGUGGGAAGGCAAUGGGAAAGAUCCAGAUUCCAGCAGAAUAUCAAAUGAGCAGAGCGAAAUAUCUGUUACAUACCACUCACUCCACUGACCUCAGUGAAACAUUUGUUUCACUAUCCAGAUGGAACAAUUGAAAUGUCUGCAUUAUUAAGAAGCAGUCAGGAUUCAUUAAGUUUCCAUUUGGCCUCGCCCCAGCCUCUCUUGUACUGCCUUUGGCCAAUAACCAUUCAUCAAGCAUUUGUUUGCCAUGAGCCUAUGAGACAGGAUCGUCUGCCCAAGUGGAAUCAGAAGCAUUUCACCUAAGAAUUGGGAAGAAUUUCAUGUCUGCUUGAAAAUAUGCUUUUCCAGGGCAGUUUUCCCUGCUCAUCUAUAAUUAUGGAAUUGAACAAUGCUGAUCUCUGACUCUGUCAAGCCAUGCUUCUAGGUAAAGGAGCUUGGUCACACUCAUUUGGUUACUGAUACAGAAACUCAAAUCUGGAAGCAACUGUGCUGGAAAAGGGUAGUGCGAGAAAGGGUCUUUGCAGAUGCAAUUCAUUAAGAUAAGAUGAAGUCAUGCUGGAUUCGGGUGGGCCUAAUAACCAGUGCCCUUAUGAGAAGAGGACAGGAUCCACAGAGAAUACCUAGAGCAGAAGGCCAUCUAAAGGCAGAAGCAGAGACUGGAGUAAUACACCCACCAGGGAAGGUAGGUUUGCCAGAGAAAAUCGCAUGCCGAGCUCACCUUGUCCGUGGACCAGCACACAAGCCAUGCCUGGACACCUCCCUCCACCAAGGCUGCCAGUCAGGGGAUUUCAGCUUCUACUCAGCAGGGGGAAGAAAAAUGGACCAUGUUAUAACAAAUAACAUGGCGGUGAACUCUGUGGAUGGUGGAGUUGUUCUGUGUGCUCCAGUUCCUACCGAGAUUGUGCCUAACUCAUCAUGAAUCUCAGCAGCAGCAGCAUGGACACCAUCACCAGCAGAAGCGUUUGCAAGUAUCCAAUUAUGGGUUAGAGACUCUGCAAGGAAAUUACAUUCACCCAGCACCUGGCCAGAACCUAAGACUUGUUUCAGCACUUCUUGCAAUUAGCAGAGGGCAGUUGCCUCCGUGGUGUGUAGCCAGUUGGGGUGAUGAGCAAUUCUCCCCACAAAAGCCUCAUGAGACAUCUGGUGACUGAGUUCGCAAUGGCACUGCCUCAGUGUGUGUGCCCAUAAAAAGGCAAGCUGACAGUACCCGUCUAGGACAGGGUUCACCAGGCUUGUCUGUGCCUGCCUCUGCUAAGAUGCUCUCAAGGGACUGCUAGAUUCCCACCCUCUUUAUUUAACAGUUCUUCCAACAGAGAGGCAGAACCUACUUCAUUCAGCUGCUUUCCUCUCUCCCCAGUUUCAGAAUUACUAUAAUUGCCCAUUGCAGUUGUUCGGCAUUCAUGUCAAUUUCAGUACAAGCUGGAGAAUUCAGGAGAAGUUGUAAGGUGUGAGGGUUGGGAGUUGCAUCCACUUGUCAGGGAAAUUGCGAUGUCCGAGGCAGGUCUGAGGCCUUUGCUACUUGGAUCGCUCCAGCAGAAUGCAUUGAGGGAGGUCUCCAGGAAGAAAUGUCCCUCCAUGGCCAAUUGCAUGCCGCAUUGGGGAGGGAGGUGUCAAACAAUGGUAAAGUGGAUAGAUAGUAAAGUGUCUUUUACCAUCUCUUAUAAAGACAAGUGACACUCUGAGAUAAAAAGCCACAAGGCCUCUUCUAAAGUUUAUAUUUACAGAGGCUCUGUGACUGCAUGGCCACUUUUCUCAGCAGCUAUAGCAGGUCUUGGAAUAACAUUGCUUCAUUCAACAUCACUUUAUUAUAAUGUUGAUGAGAAAAAAUAUCGAUUCUCAGCUAAGGCCACUAUCUGUGUGGAGUUGUCAUGUUCUCCUCAUGUCUGUGUGGGUUUCCUGCCACAUCCCAAAGCUGUGCCCAUCUAGUGAAACAGAAUAUCACCUGGUCCCAGUGUGAGUGAAUGUGUGUGUGUGUGUGUGUGUGUGUGUGCGCGCGCAUGUGCGUGUGCCAUGGGAUGGGAUGGUGUCCUGUCCAGGGUGGGCUCCUGCCUGGCACCCGAGCUGCUGGGAUAGGCUCUG
rnacentral:lncRNA from 1 species